rnacentral:rRNA from 1 species
GUGCCAGCAGCCGCGGUAAUACGAGGGGUGCAAGCGUUGCUCGGAAUUAUUGGGCGUAAAGGGCAGGUAGGUGGUCUCACUUGUCUGAUGUGAAAGCCUUGGGCUUAACCCAAGAAGUGCGUCAGAAACGGUGAGACUGGAGUAUCGGAGAGGCGAGUGGAAUUCCCGGUGUAGCGGUGAAAUGCGUAGAGAUCGGGAGGAACACCAGAGGCGAAGGCGGCUCGCUGGACGAUGACUGACACUCAACUGCGAAAGCGUGGGGAGCAAACAGGAUUAGAAACCCCAGUAGUCC